UCCUGUUCCCCAGAAGGAGCGAUUAGAAAAAUCAGGAAGGAGCUGGGAACUACAGCACCAGAGAGGUGAACUUGACCUCUGGUGGACAAAGCAACCAUCUUGGCUGGUGAUUGAGGUGGCCAACCUGGUGCCCAACAACAGCUUUGAUCUAAUAAAACUGAGCUGGGAGGAAACUGAGGCAACACCCAAUUGCACACUAGAGGGCAGGAAGAGGUAUCAGCUGGUCACUAUGGAAACAGUGGCCUUUGCUAAGUACCACUGUCAGCUAGACCAGCCAGUAGGCCACCAUUUUGGUCACUAAGAAGGGAACUGUGUUGAGUCUGAAAGGAGUCGGAAAUGUAGGAUGGAAUGAACAAGACAGCCAUCUGGGUUACUCGGGAGAGCACAUGGGUUCUUGGGGUAGUCCUGUUGAUUAACAGAGAUUAUACUGGGAUAUGGAAAGGAAAGAACAAGACAAAUUGGGCCUGCCACAGCACAUGGCAGUCAUCUUAGCUGUCCUAAAAUCAGCACAGAGCACAAGGGAAGGGAGAUCUUGGGAAGUGCCACUGAAGACUGGGAAAAGUCCUUCUCGGUCCACCUCUAUCCUCUUACAGUCAGUAAGUUCCAGCUUCCUCCUGAAAGGAAGUUCUUCCCGCCCUUCUUCUCCACAGAGUAAGAACCAUCCACCUCCCACCCCCUGAUCCCCCAGACUAAGCCACUUGGAGUUCCAGCCAGACCACUUCCUGUUUCAGAAGUGCUACUUCCUGUCCUGGAUGAAGGCACUUCCAGUUCCUGCUGCACUGCUUCUGCUACUUCCCAGGCCAUUUCUGUCCGGGCCUGGUCACCUCUUGUCUGGAGCAAGUCACUUCCGGUCCCAAGUGGCCCAUUCAGCAUCAGACCAAGUCCAUACAUGUCCCGACCGGUUCAUAUCUUGCUAUUGGCCACUGGACAAAACGGGACACUUCUUCUCAUGGUAGCUGUCAUGACCCAACCACCCCAAAUGGCUGGAGCCCAGAGACCCUCCCCUCCCGAAGGAGCCAGGACCAGGGUGGCGACUCUCCGAAGGCUUGGCCCGCCGUCUCCGCCAA
rnacentral:lncRNA from 1 species